CCACAAGCAAGAUUAUUUUAACCCAGCAAAGCUAUCAUUUAGAAUCAAAAGACAUAAAAAGAGCUUCCCAGAUGAGAAAAAGCUAAAGAAAUUUAUCCUAACCAAAACAGUGUUACAUGAAAUGUCAAGGGUUCAAGUCUUCUUUAAGAAGAAGGAA